AUUCGAACGUUAUCACUCGAUUGAAUGGGGCGUUAUCAGCGGUUAUCAGCCCAUAGCUAUGGGCCAGGAGGGGCCUCCUGUGCCUACUAGUAGGCUUAGAAGGCCGUGAUCAUCCAUCCAAAUGGUUGAUCACCCACAAAUAUACAAGAGAAGACUCCAGAUCCAAUCCCAGAAUUCCUGCUCACCGGUAAUCGGAAGUCUACUGGACGAAAGCGGCAACGCUGCGAUAUUUCCUGCUUAAUAUUUUCAGCAUACAUUUCCAGCUGGUUGCAAGGACUUCUGUGGCAAGUUGAAGAUCGCCCAGAGAGCGAUAAGCCAUACAGUUGCUGAUCUUGAAGCAUUAGGCAAGAUUGUCUGAGAACGAUGAACUGGAUUGGUAAUUACAAAAGAUCGCAAAUGACCAAUGCUUCGUCUGAGCCCCGGUCAUCAAAGGCCAAAGUUCACAUUAGAGAGCUGUCGCAUUACAAUCUUUUUUGUAGGGACAUAUUCAAAAACAAAGGCACAAUGAAUGAUAUUAAGGGCUGGUGCGCCACAUUGGGGGAAGAUGCAAAGC